AAGAGGGGCAGUGAACAGCCUAUGCCUGCAACUGACCUUUCUGACUGCUAUACUGAACUGCUCCCAAAACAGCCAUCUCUGGGGCUGAGACAGACUUCUUCUGACCCCGGCUGUAUUUCUAGGAUCACCUGCAGCACCAUGGAUGGAAAUUCAGAGGAAAGACCUCCACAGCUCAGCCGGAGUUGAGGAUGAGGGAGGAGUCAAAGCAUGGAUCUCUUAGCAGAACAUGAUUGAUAAGAUAAAAUGCCGAUGAAGUGAGAACAAAGGAAAGCAGCAAAGUGCUGUGCAGAUGAUGUAUUUCUACUGCAACUGUCCUUGGAGUCUGGAGUAUUAUUAAACCAAAGGAAAAUACAAGAAAAUCGACCAAACAUGACAAGAAAAAAAAAACAAACCACCAAAUCAACCAAAACCCUGAUGUAUGAAGACACUGCAAUUAAGUAGUCAGAAUAAAUUGCUGUAGUAAUUAA